UCGAUGGUAUGCGAAGGUAGACGCGCUAGCUUCAGGUGUUAGUGUCCUUAGGAUGUGGGGGUUCGAGUCCCCCCCCUCGCACCA
rnacentral:tRNA from 1 species